GAAAACUGCUUUCCAGCCGCCGCGCAAACCAUGAAGAGGCGACCAGGCCAGAGGCUGCUGCUGAAUGGGAUUUCAAUGACAGAGCACUGCUGGCUUGAUUGUAUUGCUUCUCGAGGAGUGUAAUGUCCUCUCAUGACUUCAGAUUGAUGUGACCACAGCCGAUAGCAUAUGUAGACAGGCGGACAAACAAGGUCAGACAUGGGUGUGACUAUCCUGCUGACUGUAACAGACACUUACGAGCAAAUUCAGGAUAGUGGAUUUGUGGUUUUUCGUUACUCGCUGAGCGCCGUGGCCUGUGAAGGGAACACCUGUAGUACAGCUCCGCGAGGCAAGCCUCAGGGAGGAAACAAGAAAGGAAUGCUGCUUUUACUGGAAAUAUCAAUAAAGAAAACAACACGUUUUUAGAUUAUGGAUAUGUUAAGUUACCUCUUAUUUUACAUUUGACUUUACUAAGGUUAAACAUAUUAGUAUGUUGCUUACCAAUUAUGCCAUUUGGGGAAAAUAUUUUCAGGUAUUUUUUCUGCAGGAUGUAAUGAGAAAUAACUAACGUUUCCAAUCUUUGUUGCCCAUAC